GGACUACAUAAGCCACAACGCCAUCUGGUGGACAAGGAGGUUCAUUACAUAUUUUUGAGUGCCUUUGUGUUUGCAUGCAAUGAAUCCAUGGACAGUAUGCUUUAAUUUGUGGUGAGUCAAACUAAGUUACAUCUGAGAAGUUUUACUUCAAUGCGUCAGAAAGACUUUUAAAGUGUCUGGAAAACUUGCUCGUGCAAACAGUCAUGUCGUUGCAGCACAAGAAAGGGCAAAAAACAUGG